rnacentral:rRNA from 1 species
AUCGAACGCUGGCGGCAGGCCUAACACAUGCAAGUCGAGCGGCAGCGGGAAAGUAGCUUGCUACCUUUGCCGGCGAGCGGCGGACGGGUGAGUAAUGCCUGGGAAAUUGCCCAGUCGAGGGGGAUAACAGUUGGAAACGACUGCUAAUACCGCAUACGCCCUACGGGGGAAAGCAGGGGACCUUCGGGCCUUGCGCGAUUGGAUAUGCCCAGGUGGGAUUAGCUAGUUGGUGAGGUAAUGGCUCACCAAGGCGACGAUCCCUAGCUGGUCUGAGAGACUGAUCCGCCAGACUGGAACUGAGACACGGUCCAGACUCCUACGGGAGGCAGCAGUGGGGAAUAUUGCACAAUGGGGGAAACCCUGAUGCAGCCAUGCCGCGUGUGUGAAGAAGGCCUUCGGGUUGUAAAGCACUUUCAGCGAGGAGGAAAGGUUGAUGCCUAAUACGUAUCAACUGUGACGUUACUCGCAGAAGAAGCACCGGCUAACUCCGUGCCAGCCGCCGCCGUAA